AAACGGAGCGCAAGGGGAGGGUGCUGGAAACAAAAAAGAAGCCAUGUCCACCCAGUCACAUGGCCACACCCACCUCGCCACACCCACAGAACUGGUAGUAAAAAUAUUUGAACUCCACCCCUGAGUUGAAGUCCAUAGCUGGUGACUUUCCCAGAGUUGCCCAUGCCUGCCUUAGAGAGAUGUUUCUCCUUGCCUUCCAAGCCCUUUGACAUCAUCCUGGGACAUGGGGAUUUACGCAUGGGCCACGGAUCACACAGAAUUCCCUGUUUUAAAGGCAUCACUUCAGGCGAAUUGCAGACACGCUCGCUUCUGCGCCUGGAAUGCGAUUCUGUUAUUGUUCCUCCAUAGAGAUCUGUCAGCAUAUGGCAUAGAGAAGGGAUGCGCAAGAUAGUCUAUAACAGUGUAGACUGGAGGAUUCUGGGAUUGAUACGUCAACUGUAUGAAAUUGUUCUUUCCCCAGAAAAUAAAAUGAGAGUGUGUGUG